GCUCUGAGUGCUCUCUCUGCAGGUGUCUGAAGGCCAGGAUGGUCUCCCCAUGGCAGCUCCUCUGGCUGCUGGUGCUCUGGGCUCAGGAUUCCCAAGGAGCUGUUGUGCUGACCCAGUCUCCAGCCUCCUUGUCUGGAUCUCCAGGAGAGAGAGUCACCAUCAGCUGCAAGGCCAGUCAGAGUGUAAUAGAUAGUAGUGGUAAUAGCAGGUUACAUUGGUACCAGCAGAAACCUGGCCAAGCCCCCAGGCUCUUCAUCUACAGUACUAACAUCCUGGUAUCUGGAGUGCCUGCCCGAUUCAGUGGCAGUGGGUCUGGGACAGAUUUCACUCUCACCAUCAGCAGCUUGGAGCCUGAGGAUGCUGCAGAUUAUUACUGUCAGCAAUAUAUAAGCUACCCUGUCCCACAGUGCUUCAGGCCUUAA